GCGGCGUGCUUAACACAUGCAAGUCGAACGGAUUUUUUUACUGAAGGUUCGCUGGAUGUAAAAAAAUUAGUGGCAAACGGGUGAGUAAUAAAUAAGUAACCUUCCCUAAAGUUCGGGACAACCAUUCGAAAGGAUGGCUAAUACCGGAUACGCUCUUUUUUUCGCAUGAAGAAAAGAGGAAAGUUUUUCGCUUUAGGAGGGGCUUAUUUCUGAUUAGCUUGUUGGUAGGGUAAUGGCCUACCAAGGCGAUGAUCAGUAGCUGGUCUGAGAGGACGGACAGCCACACUGGGACUGAGACACGGCCCAGACUCCUACGGGAGGCAGCAGUGGGGAAUAUUGCGCAAUGGGGGAAACCCUGACGCAGCGACGCCGCGUGAGUGACGAAGUCUUUCGGGAUGUAAAGCUCUGUCAAGAGGGACGAUAAUGACGGUACCUCUGGAGGAAGCCCCGGCUAACUACGUGCCAGCAGCCGCGGUAAUACGUAGGGGGCAAGCGUUACCCGGAUUUAUUGGGCAUAAAGGGCGUGUAGGCGGUAAUUUAAGUCAGAUGUAAAAUUCCUAGGCUCAACCUAGGUCUGCAUUUGAUACUGAUUUACUAGAGGUUAGGAGAGGAAAGUAGAACUCAUAGUGUAGCGGUGACAUGCGUAGAUAUUAUGAGGAAUACCAGUUGCGAAGGCGGCUUUCUGGCCUAAAUCUGACGCUGAGGCGCGAAAGCGUGGGGAGCAAACAGGAUUAGAUACCCUGGUAGUCCACGCUGUAAACGGUGUUCACUAGGUGUAGGAGGUAUCGACCCCUUCUGUGCCACAGAAAAUUCGUUAAGUGAACCGCCUGGGAAGUACGACCGCAAGGUUGAAACUCAAAGGAAUUGACGGGGGCCCGCACAAGCAGUGGAGCAUGUGGUUUAAUUCGACGUACACGAAGAACCUCACCAAGACUUGACAUCUAUAGAAUUCUCUAGAAACAGAGAAGUGCCCGCAAGGGAGCUAUAAGACAGGUGGUGCAUGGCUGUCGUCAGCUCGUGUCGUGAGAUGUUGGGUUAAGUCCCGCAACGAGCGCAACCCCCAUUCUGUGUUGCCAGCAUUUAAGGUGGGAACUCACAGAAGACUGCCUGUGUAAAGCAGGAGGAAGGUGGGGAUGACGUCAAGUCAUCAUGCCCCUUACGUCUUGGGCUACACACAUGCUACAAUGGCCGGUACAAAGGGUCGCGAAACCGCGAGGUGGAGCCAAUCUCAAAAAACCGGUCUCAGUUCGGACUGUAGUCUGCAACUCGACUACAUGAAGCUGGAAUUGCUAGUAAACGCAGAUCAGCUAUGCCGCGUUGAAUGCGUUCUCGGGCCUUGUACACACCGCCCGUCACACCAUGAAAG
rnacentral:rRNA from 1 species